UUCUGACCGUCGGGAGUGGUUCUGUGACCUCUGGGAGCACCGCCGAAGCUCUGAACUCAGCUUUUGCCACUUGAGACCCUGCUGCCACCGUGUUCCACUGCCGUUACCGUCACCGGUGUUUUUGCUCGCGAUUGUCACUUGGGGUUACUGACGGAGCCACUGCCGGGUUGAUAAGGAGCUGCGCCUGCUUCAUUUUGUUAUUUCAGAGUUAGAAUCCGGUUUGCUUAUGCCGCUUGUAGCUGUUUCUGCUCUUGAGAGAACAAGCCGAGCCGGGUUCUGAAUGCCGGUGAUUUUGGGCAGAGCGAAAAGAGCUCAGUUGACACGCUUGGGUUAAGUUUUGCUUGCUGAGGUAGGGGCGCUUUCCAAAAACUAUAGUUUAUUAUUGGAAUUAUUACAUAUGGGU